UCCAGACUCCUACGGGAGGCAGCAGUGGGGCCUCUUGGGCAAUGUUCGCCCGCCUGACCCCGCCCCGCCGCGUGCCGGAAGAAGGCUUUCGGGUUGUAAACUUCUUUUGUCAGGGACGAAGCAAGUGACGGUCCCUGACGAAUACGCCACGGCUAACUACGUGCCAGCAGCCGCGGUAAUACGUAGGUGGCAAGCGUUAUCCGGAUUUAUUGGGGGGAAAGGGCGGGGAGGCGGGAAUGCAAGUCAGAUGUGAAAACUAUGGGCUCAACCCAGAGCCUGCAUUGGAAACUGUAUUUCUUGAGUGCGGGAGAGGCAAGCGGAAUUCCGUGUGGAGCGGUGAAAUGCGGAGAGAUACGGAGGAACACCAGUGGCGAAGGCGGAUUGCUGGACAGGAACUGACGCGGGGGCGCGAAAGCGGGGGGAGCAAACAGGAGGAGAUACCCGAGUAAG
rnacentral:rRNA from 1 species